GGCGUCGUACCCAAGUGGUAAGGGACGGGUCUGCAAAACCCUUAUGCAGCGGUUCAAUUCCGCUCGACGCCU
rfam:Treponema socranskii subsp. socranskii VPI DR56BR1116 = ATCC 35536 strain VPI DR56BR1116 ctg120007787827, whole genome shotgun sequence.